rnacentral:tRNA from 1 species
GCCCCCGUAGCUCAGUGGAUAGAGCAUCGGACUUCUAAUCCGUUGGUCGGCGGUUCGAAUCCGCCCGGGGGUA